AGUGAACGCUGGCGGUAGGCCUAACACAUGCAAGUCGAACGGCAGCACAGUAAGAGCUUGCUCUUACGGGUGGCGAGUGGCGGACGGGUGAGGAAUACAUCGGAAUCUACUUUUUCGUGGGGGAGAACGUAGGGAAACUUACGCUAAACCCGCAUACGACCUACGGGUGAAAGCAGGGGAUCUUAGGCCCUCGCGCGAUUGAAUGACCCGAUGUCGGAUUAGCUAGUUGGCGGGGUAACGGCCCACCAAGGCGACGAUCCGUAGCUGGUCUGAGAGGAUGAUCAGCCACACUGGAACUGAGACACGGUCCAGACUCCUACGGGAGGCAGCAGUGGGGAAUAUUGGACAAUGGGCGCAAGCCUGAUCCAGCCAUACCGCGUGGGUGAAGAAGGCCUUCGGGUUGUAAAGCCCUUUUGUUGGGAAAGAAAAGCAGCAGGUUAAUACCCCGCUGUUCUGACGGUACCCAAAGAAUAAGCACCGGCUAACUUCGUG
rnacentral:rRNA from 1 species